rnacentral:rRNA from 1 species
UACGUAGGGCGCAAGCGUUGUCCGGAAUUAUUGGGCGUAAAGAGCUCGUAGGCGGUUUGUCGCGUCUGCUGUGAAAACCUAAGGCUCAACCUUGGGCUUGCAGUGGGUACGGGCAGACUAGAGUGCGGUAGGGGUGACUGGUAUUCCUGGUGUAGCGGUGGAAUGCGCAGAUAUCAGGAGGAACACCGAUGGCGAAGGCAGGUCACUGGGCCGCAACUGACGCUGAGGAGCGAAAGCUAGGGGAGCGAACGGG